rnacentral:rRNA from 1 species
UACGUAGGGACCAAGCGUUGUUCGGAUUACUGGGCGUAAAGGGUGCGUAGGCGGCGCGUCAAGUCAGUUGUGAAAUCUUAAGGCUUAACCUUAAGCGGUCAACUGAUACUGUCGUGCUAGAGUGCAGAAGGGGCAAUCGGAAUUCUUGGUGUAGCGGUGAAAUGCGUAGAUAUCAAGAGGAACACCUGAGGUGAAGACGGGUUGCUGGGCUGACACUGACGCUGAUGCGCGAAAGCCAGGGAGCAAACGGG